UAAUACGGAGGAUGCAAGCGUUAUCCGGAUUCAUUGGGUUUAAAGGGUGCGUAGGCGGAAUAAUAAGUCAGCGGUGAAAGCCUGUGGCUUAACCAUAGAAUUGCCAUUGAUACUGUUAUUCUUGAGUGUAGUUGAAGUGGGCGGAAUGUGUAAUGUAGCGGUGAAAUGCUUAGAUAUUACACAGAACACCAAUUGCGAAGGCAGCUCACUAAGCUAUUACUGACGCUGAGGCACGAAAGCGUGGGGAGCAAACAGGAUUAGAUACCCUGGUAGUCCACGCUGUAAACGAUGAUCACUCGUUGUUGGCGAUACACUGUCAGCGACUGAGCGAAAGCAAUAAGUGAUCCACCUGGGGAGUACGGUCGCAAGACUGAAACUCAAAUGAAUUGACGG
rnacentral:rRNA from 1 species